AGCGGGUGGGAGCCGCGCGGGCAUCUCGCUGUGCCUUUGCGCGGUGCAGGGGCAGCUGGAGCUCAGCAGGCGCGGACGUGCCUGCGUCUCCGUGGCCGCGGGGGAGCGGGGCGCGACCGUGCGUUGAAACCAGCUGCACACGGCACUUGAGCCCCGUCGUUGCCUUUUUGCCUUUUGUCGUCCGCUCUUGACGGAGGCCCCGGUGGCAAGGAACCAAGAGGUGACUCACGGCUUGAACGGGGGACCUGGAAGGGGUCCACAUCCCCGAGAGCCUACUCCCUGCUCCCCACGUUUUCCUCCCUCGGGCCUGCCUUCCAGGUGGCCGCCUGGCACCGCAGAGCCCCGGGCGUUCCGCACCGAGGCGGAGGCGAGGCGGAGACCUCCUGAGCCCUUCGUCGGAGCAGAGUGUACUCAAGUGGCUACUCUCAGUGUUCUGUGUUUCCUGUCGGUCCGUCCUUCAACUCGCAUGUGUCCCCUACCCUUCAAAGUGAAGUGCAGUCAAGAACCACGACCCUAGGCUUCCACGUCCAGGGAAGCAAGGGUGCAUGUUGCUCAAUCUCAUUGAAGAAUUGACGUUCUUACCUGUGAAAUGAAGAAAGAUGAUUAUGUACCCUCACAGGGUUGUGAGAAGGAAGAGAUGCCCCGAGUGCACCACACGUGCAGUGAAUAUUGAAGGUAGUCCACCCAGAGUUGAAAGAAGGGGACCAUUUUGCCUCACACUGGAAUGAAGAUGCACAAUUCUUCUUUGUCACUUCCUUUGCUUGCAAAAUUUCCUCCCUGUCUGCUUCCUAAAAUUACAACUUUGUUUCUUCCUAAUUUGUAAUAUAGGUUUAACCCUAGACUGUUGAAAGGAUUUUCUUGGAAGACUAAACAAAUAUAUUA